UGUUACUCUCGCUCUCCCGCGCGAUUGGAGAAGAGGAAUGGGACUCCGAAGGUUGAGGUGCGAUCGGAGAAGAGGAACCGCUUGAAGAAUUGUUUUUUCGAAGGCUUUGUUCUUCGUGUUCUUUAAGGUUAGGUUUACACUUCUCCGUUUGCGUUCAUCGCUCACUCCCUCACUCUCGUGUUCAUCGCUCACUCCCUCACUCACUCUCAAUUUCAUUCGCAUUCUCAAUUUCGCGAUCCAUUCUCUGUUCAAUUUCUGUUCUCGCUUUCUCUCCUAUGCUUGUGUUUUCCUCGGGAUUUUCAAAUCCGCUCUGAAUGUUUAUAAAGUGCUUUGGUUUCUCACUCUUCGAUUGGUUUCACUCUGAUAGAACUGAAGUUCAUUUUCUGCUGAGAAGUUUCCACUUAUCAUUUUCCUACAUUGCCAAAGAGUUCAAAACCUUUGUAACCAUUGGAAAAGGGGGCAUUGGAUGCUGAAGAGCAGAUUGGGAAGGCUCAUGUAACAUAAGUAGGUUAGUUGGAUCUUAAUAGGCUUGCUCACUUUCUUGGCGGCACUAUUUCUUAUAUUUUUGGGUGUGGGAUAUUCGAGGUUAUACAAGAUUGUUCCAGUCUGAUAAGCCAAUAACAAAAGGCCAAGCAGCUAUGGCUCUAGCUGCUAGAGAUAUAUUGGAGAUGCUUCUGAAAUAUUCUAUCUGUAGGCCUUGAGGUCAAAACUUCUAUCAGAACUUCUCCUUCUUUGUGUUAGUCAUCUCUGCAUGGAACUAUCCAAUUUUAAUGGAAGAGUGGGAAAAAUAGUGAUGACUGCUACUGCAAAACAACACCAGUUGUGCUAGAGCUUGGAGGAAAACUAUGCUGUGAUGACAGAGGAUGCUACAACAUGCUAUGUCUAGGUUUUGCACAAGUUGAUAAAACUCUUCACUUUGGCACAAGUAUAAGAGAAAGUAUAUGAGAUACAUCUACCUAUUUGGCUGGUGUUCAAUGAAAUAGACUAUGUUGGGCAUAAGGAUCUUGGUUUGAGUUUGGUGUGUUUUGACCUUGUGCCUGUACUGUUGGGGAUUCAUGUAUUUAUUAGACCUUCUUAUGUUGAACAAUGGCAUGUAUUUAACUCUUGUUUAGUAAGAAAAAUCAUUGGGUUCCA